GGGUUGUGAGGUUAAGCGACUAAGCGUACACGGUGGAUGCCCUGGCAGUCAGAGGCGAUGAAGGGCGUGCUAAUCUGCGAUAAGCGCCGGUAAGGUGAUAUGAACCGUUAUAACCGGCGAUACCCGAAUGGGGAAACCCAGUGUGAUUCGUCACACUAUCAUUAACUGAAUCCAUAGGUUAAUGAGGCGAACCGGGGGAACUGAAACAUCUAAGUACCCCGAGGAAAAGAAAUCAACCGAGAUUCCCCCAGUAGCGGCGAGCGAACGGGGAGGAGCCCAGAGCCUGAAUCAGCAUGUGUGUUAGUGGAAGCGUCUGGAAAGGCGCGCGAUACAGGGUGACAGCCCCGUACACAAAAGCGCAUGUGCUGUGAGCUCGAUGAGUAGGGCGGGACACGUGGUAUCCUGUCUGAAUAUGGGGGGACCAUCCUCCAAGGCUAAAUACUCCUGACUGACCGAUAGUGAACCAGUACCGUGAGGGAAAGGCGAAAAGAACCCCGGCGAGGGGAGUGAAAAAGAACCUGAAACCGUGUACGUACAAGCAGUGGGAGCCCCACCACUAAGCCAGUGGUGAACUCCACAUACGCAUCCUUUGCUGAAGGCAAUGGUUAACGGAGCGAAAGCGACGUUCAACCGCAAAACAAGCAGAGGGGGCUUAGUGGUGGGGUGACUGCGUACCUUUUGUAUAAUGGGUCAGCGACUUAUAUUCUGUAGCAAGGUUAACCGUAUAGGGGAGCCGGAGGGAAACCGAGUCUUAAU
rnacentral:rRNA from 3 species